rnacentral:rRNA from 1 species
AACGAACGCUGGCGGCAUGCCUAACACAUGCAAGUCGAACGAGACCUUCGGGUCUAGUGGCGCCCGGGUGCGUAACGCGUGGGAACCUGCCCUUAGGUUCGGAAUAACUCCCCGAAAGGGGUGCUAAUACCGGAUAAUGUCUUCGGACCAAAGAUUUAUCGCCUUUGGAUGGGCCCGCGUUGGAUUAGCUAGUUGGUAGGGUAAAAGCCUACCAAGGCGACGAUCCAUAGCUGGUCUGAGAGGAUGAUCAGCCACACUGGGACUGAGACACGGCCCAGACUCCUACGGGAGGCAGCAGUGGGGAAUAUUGGACAAUGGGCGAAAGCCUGAUCCAGCAAUGCCGCGUGAGUGAUGAAGGCCUUAGGGUUGUAAAGCUCUUUUACCCGGGAUGAUAAUGACAGUACCGGGAGAAUAAGCUCCGGCUAACUCCGUG